rnacentral:rRNA from 1 species
UACGAAGGGGGCGAGCGUUGUUCGGAUUUACUGGGCGUAAAGGGCGCGCAGGCGGCUAUCCAAGUCAGGCGUGAAAGCCCCGGGCUUAACCUGGGAGGUGCGUCUGGGACUGGGUGGCUAGAGUUCGGGAGAGGAGAGUGGAAUUCCCAGUGUAGAGGUGAAAUUCGUAGAUAUUGGGAAGAACACCGGUGGCGAAGGCGGCUCUCUGGGACGGUACUGACGCUGAGACGCGAAGGCGUGGGGAGCAAACAGG